AUUGAACGCUGGCGGCAGGCCUAACACAUGCAAGUCGAGCGGAUGAAGGGAGCUUGCUCCUGGAUUCAGCGGCGGACGGGUGAGUAAUGCCUAGGAAUCUGCCUGGUAGUGGGGGAUAACGUCCGGAAACGGGCGCUAAUACCGCAUACGUCCUGAGGGAGAAAGUGGGGGAUCUUCGGACCUCACGCUAUCAGAUGAGCCUAGGUCGGAUUAGCUAGUUGGUGGGGUAAAGGCCUACCAAGGCGACGAUCCGUAACUGGUCUGAGAGGAUGAUCAGUCACACUGGAACUGAGACACGGUCCAGACGCCUACGGGAGGCAGCAGUGGGGAAUAUUGGACAAUGGGCGAAAGCCUGAUCCAGCCAUGCCGCGUGUGGGAAGAAGGUCUUCGGAUUGUAAAGCACUUUAAGUUGGGAGGAAGGGCAGUAAGUUAAUACCUUGCUGUUUUGACGUUACCAACAGAAUAAGCACCGGCUAACUUCGUG
rnacentral:rRNA from 1 species